CUCAUUUUACAGAUGAGGAAACUGAGGCAAUUAGGGUCAAGUGACUUGUCCAGGAUUAUACAGCUGCUAUCUAAGGACAAAUCUGAACUCAGAUCUUCCUGAUAUCAGGACCUUCCUCUCUCCACUGCAUCACUUCAAUCCUAAUAUCCUGUAAUAAAUGCAUACGGCAGGGAGACGAGGAUUGUCACUGCAUUCAAGGACAGGAAUUGACUGGCAGCCUUGUUGCUAGGAAAACAGAAGAACCAUGGAGUACAUUUUCUUGCAAGAAUUCUGCAUAACUUGUCAAUGCAUAAGACACAGAUGCCCUGAGGCUUCCUUUUCUCAUUCUUUUCCAUUUCUUCCUCCAUGCUCUAGUUCUAAAUGAAUAUGUAUAUUUGGUGCCAGAGAACUGGAAUCACCUAUAUUCCCCCUAAGACAGGAAUGGUAAGGAAGGUGUCCCAUUGGUAUCUUUUGUUCCCAUGGGGCUUUUGAAAGAAAGUGUUGCAAGACAAGGGAAGUAUUCCAUCUUGCAGCUUGAGAAGAAUGAAGCCUAGAUGGGGGAUGGGAUAGGGAUGGUUCUUCACUUGAAUUUUGAGAAUGUCUCUUAACCACAGCACAAUUAAAGAGCUAGAAGAUGACCAAGAGCAAACUAUUUUAGUCAUCUUGGCCUCAGUUUCUUAGUCUGUAAAUUGAAGGGGUUAGAUUAAAUGAUGUCGAGGGUCACUUCUAGCUCUGUAUCUAUGAACCUAUAAUUCCAGGGUUCUUUUCUGGGCUACAAAAUAGAUAUUUUAGAGAACUGGGGGCUGGGGGAGGGUAGCCAAAGAAAAACGUGGUCUUUGGUACUUUCCCCAGGCACAUGGAAAGUCUGAGAGAGGCAGUGGCUGAGAGAGGAUGUCAUGAAUCACUGAGCACAUGUGUUCUACAUGGGGACCAUUUCCAUUUCUGAAUAAAUGAUGUGAUAAUCUGAGAGAAAAUGUGCAGGAUAGAUUUUCAUAAACCAAACCCUAAAAGCUCAGUGAGAUCCCAGAACUCUUUUACAGGAGGCCAGAGAGACUUUCAGCACUUUGAAUGUUUGCAUCUGAAAGCUGCUGAGGGGUGUGGGACAAGAACUUUUUGCCCAAGCACAGUGGGAAAGACAAAAGAAAGAAGAAGGAAUUCCUGCUCUCUAAGAGCUUGCUCUCUUAUGGAGGAAGCAAAAAACAGACCUUCAAAGCUGAAAAUGAGAACAGAAAGUACCAGAAGCCAGAAAGAUAAGAAAGCUGCCUCAGGGACCAAGCACAAGAUAAGUGGCCAGUUGGCCUAACAUCUUUGUUGUCAGCUGGGUACUCAGCCCAUUAAGAGACAUUCGAGUUCAGCUGGAGACAGGCAGCUUCAAAGACAACUGUUCUUACCUUCCAACUGGGAUUUGGUCAUGAGCUGCUGUAUCAGCACAGUCAAACCUAGUCACAGUCACACCUAGGCACAGCGCAUUUCUUCUCCUACCCCAAUUCAAUUCAACAAAUAGUUAUUAGUGCCCAUUACUGCAAGGCUCUGUGCUGGGUCCUGGGGAUAUAAAGUCAACAAAUAAAACUGUCCUUGCUUAAGAGAUAUGGCA
ensembl:lncRNA